CGUUUUUAGACAAAAUUAAAAAUACUUCCUGCUCAAUGAACUUUAAAUAGCCGCAGAUUUGUGCUAAGGUAGCAUAAUCAAUUGCCUUUUAAAUAAAGGAUAGAAUGAAAGGACUCACGAAUUACUUUCUUUAUUAAUAUUCCCUAACAAAACUUUGUUACAAGUAAAAAAACUUGUUAAUCAAAAAAAGACGACAAGACCCUGUUGAACUUAACUAUUGUUAAGCUGGGGAAGCUUGUAAACAAAAUCUUCAUAAUAUUUUUAAAAAAGACCCUUAAUGUUAUAUGACCAAGUUACCAUAGGGAUAACAGCAUAAUAAAUUUUUAAAGCUCUUAUUUAAAAAUAAGUUUAUGACCUCGAUGUUGAAUUAAUUCCCUGUAUUUAGCAAAAACCAUAAGAGGAAGACUGUUCGUCUUUUAAAAAAUU
rnacentral:rRNA from 1 species